CUAAGAAUAUUCCGCAAUGGACGAAAGUCUGACGGAGCGACGCCGCGUGGAUGAUGAAGGCCGGAAGGUUGUAAAAUCCUUUUAUGACUGAGGAAUAAGUGAAGUGAGGGAAACGCUUCAUGGUGACUGUAGGUCAUGAAUAAGCGAACGGCUAAUUACGUGCCAGCAGCCGCGGUAACACGUAAGUUGCGAGCGUUGUUCGGAAUUAUUGGGCGUAAAGGGCAUGUAGGCGGUAUUGCAAGCCUGGUGUGAAAGGCAGGGGCGUCAACCUCUGGACUGCGCUGGGAACUGCGAUACUAGAGUCGCUGAGGGGCAAUCAGAAUUCCAGGUGUAGGGGUGAAAUCUGUAGAUACCUGGAAGAAUACCAAUGGCGAAGGCAGGUUGCCAGCAGAUGACUGACGCUGAGGUGCGAAGGUGCGGGGAGCAAACA
rnacentral:rRNA from 1 species